CAGUCGAGGGGUAUGGUUCUUCGGGACCAGAGACCGGCGCACGGGUGCGUAACGCGUAUGCAAUCUGCCUUUCCAGAGGGACAGCCCAGAGAAAUUUGGAUUAAUACCUCAUAGUAUAGUACGAUCGCAUGAUUGAACUAUUAAAGUCACAACGGUGAAAGAUGAGCAUGCGUCCCAUUAGCUUGUUGGUAAGGUAACGGCUUACCAAGGCGACGAUGGGUAGGGGUCCUGAGAGGGAGAUCCCCCACACUGGUACUGAGACACGGACCAGACUCCUACGGGAGGCAGCAGUGAGGAAUAUUGGUCAAUGGGCGCAAGCCUGAACCAGCCAUGCCGCGUGCAGGAUGACGGUCCUAUGGAUUGUAAACUGCUUUUGCACAGGAAGAAACAUCCCGACGUGUCGGGACUUGACGGUACUGUGAGAAUAAGGAUCGGCUAACUCCGUGCCAGCAGCCGCGGUAAUACGGAGGAUCCAAGCGUUAUCCGGAAUCAUUGGGUUUAAAGGGUCCGUAGGCGGUCUUGUAAGUCAGUGGUGAAAGCCCAUCGCUCAACGGUGGAACGGCCAUUGAUACUGCUGGACUUGAAUUAUUGGGAAGUAACUAGAAUAUGUAGUGUAGCGGUGAAAUGCUUAGAGAUUACAUGGAAUACCAAUUGCGAAGGCAGGUUACUACCAAUUGAUUGACGCUGAUGGACGAAAGCGUGGGUAGCGAACAGGAUUAGAUACCCUGGUAGUCCACGCCGUAAACGAUGGAUACUAGCUGUUGGGCGCAAGUUCAGUGGCUAAGCGAAAGUGAUAAGUAUCCCACCUGGGGGAGUACGUUCGCAAGAAUGAAACUCAAAGGAAUUGACGGGGGCCCGCACAAGCGGU
rnacentral:rRNA from 1 species